AUGGCGGGCGCUGAAGGGCGCGCUCGCGCGCGAGGUCAGGGACAUCGCCUUGCCGGAAGCCAGGGGCGCAUGCUCGCGCGGGAGGAGGGAGAACGCCUCGCCGGGGCGCGUGCUCGCGCGGAAGAAGGGUGGCCGCCUCGCCGGCUCGCGUGCUCGCGCUGGAGAAGGGUGGCCGCCUCACCGGAGCUGUUAGGCAGUCAUUCUCUUUGCCGGGGUGCGUGCUCGCGGGAGGAGGGUCCUCCUGCACCACGCACACGAGCGGCGACUGCUCGCCGGCCGACGGCUCCGCUCUCCCCGUCCCAGCCGACGACGUCGGGCCCUGCCCCUCCCAGUUCACGCACACAACGUGGUUGUUGUAAUGUGUGUGAGAGUGGAAGAGAGGAGAAGGUAGAAGACUUGGUUAACACUCACACAUGGCCUUUUUUUCCCAAGUUAGCACCUGACUAG
rnacentral:rRNA from 1 species